rnacentral:rRNA from 1 species
CCCUUAGAUGUUCUGGGCCGCACGCGUGCUACACUGAGUGGAUCAGCGGGUCAGGUUGCGCGAAAGUGUUUCCUAAUCUUGAAAUCCGCUCGUGAUGGGGAUUGAUGGUUGCAAUUUUCCGUCAUGAACGAGGAAUACCUUGUAAGCGCGGGUCAUCAUCCCGCGCUGAAUACGUCCCUGCCCUUUGUACACACCGCCCGUCGCUCCUACCGAUUGAGUGGUCCGGUGAGGCUUUGGGAUCUGAGCAAAGAGAGCGUUUCGCUCGUUUUGCCCGGAAAACUCAGUCGAACCUUAUCAUUUAGAGGAAGGAGAAGUCGUAACA